rnacentral:rRNA from 1 species
UACGUAGGGGGCAAGCGUUGUUCGGAAUUACUGGGCGUAAAGGGCGCGUAGGCGGCACGGCAAGUCAGGAGUGAAAGCCCGGGGCUCAACCCCGGAAUGUCUUUUGAAACUGCCGAGCUAGAGUGCGGAAGAGGCAACUGGAAUUCCCAGUGUAGCGGUGAAAUGCGUAGAUAUUGGGAAGAACUCCUGAGGCGAAGGCGGGUUGCUGGGCCGACACUGACGCUGAUGCGCGAAAGCCAGGGGAGCGAACGGG